rnacentral:rRNA from 1 species
GACGAACGCUGGCGGCGUGCUUAACACAUGCAAGUCGAACGGAAAGGCCCUGCUUGCAGGGUACUCGAGUGGCGAACGGGUGAGUAACACGUGGGUGAUCUGCCCUGCACUUCGGGAUAAGCUUGGGAAACUGGGUCUAAUACCGGAUAGGAGCCAUCUUUAGUGUGGUGGUUGGAAAGUUUUUUCGGUGUAGGAUGAGCUCGCGGCCUAUCAGCUUGUUGGUGGGGUAAUGGCCUACCAAGGCGGCGACGGGUAGCCGGCCUGAGAGGGUGUACGGCCACAUUGGGACUGAGAUACGGCCCAGACUCCUACGGGAGGCAGCAGUGGGGAAUAUUGCACAAUGGGCGCAAGCCUGAUGCAGCGACGCCGCGUGGGGGAUGAAGGCCUUCGGGUUGUAAACUCCUUUCGCUAGGGACGAAGCUUUUUUGUGACGGUACCUAGAUAAGAAGCACCGGCUAAUUACGUG